AACAAAAAAAUUGUUCUACUCUGUAAACUUGUGGAAUUCACAAAGUUCAACAUUUUAAACCUGAUACAAUUCAUUUGUAAAGCUUUUAUACUGUAAAAACUUAAAUUUUGCUCACACUAAACAGAUGUUGAUCUCACUAAAAAUAACCAAGAGCCCCUUUGAAAUCCAAAAGUAAUACUUUAUUGUACUGUUGUACACUGUUUAAGUUAAAUUUAUGGAGGGCGUUGUUAUGACGAGGUCAGGCAAGUCUUCUAUGUGGUAUUUUAUGAUGCAGUAAGCCUAACUGAAUUGCAGGGAUGUAAACAUUGUGGUGUAUUUUUAAUGAUCAACGUUUAUUUUCUUUGUCUUUUCAGGUUAAAUGAGGUGAACUUUCUGUAGAAUGUAUUUUUCACAGUGUUUUUGCAUACAUUCAGAGUAUCAUGUAAGUAACCGUCUUUGUCCUUUAUUUUAUUACAAAAAACCAUGUCAUUAUGAUGUUUUUAAAAUAUUAACCAUUGACAUUGAAACUGCAAUAUUUUUCUCUUUUUCAAACUGUACUAUCUAUCAUUUCCACCACGAACAUUUUUGUCACAUAAUAAUCCUAUUUGUACAAUGUCUUGUUUUGAGCAAUCUGCAUUUGUGUGAUUUGUUUUUUCAAGUAAUAAAUUGCAUUUCUGUUAAUGACUUUUCCAGAAUCUUUUAAUGAACAACCCAUGAGAGAUUCAAUCCAUGAAUGCGAACAUCUUACAGUUGCUUAUGUUCUUGAAUCUAUUAUUAAACCUUUAGCAAAGUUUGAAACCUAUUUAAUCAUGCAUGUAAAAUGAUAUGAGAUAUUUAAAUGUUAGUUCUGUUUCUUUUACUGGCAUAACCACACCUCACACCUGGUCUCUGUGAUGCACGGUUGCUCUUGUCUUUGUUUCACUUCUGUAAUUUGGUGCUUUUUUGAGAGCUGGGUGUUACUCAAUGCUUCCGCCUGCUGCUUACCCUGACCCCUCUGCCCUGUCAUACCGCCACAUCUGUGCAACAGACUCCCAGCCUUAUCGCCAAAUAACUUUUAAGAUACAAUUUAAAGGUACAACUCUGCCAUCUAGCCUGAAAAAAAGAUAUUACACUUAGUAUUGAGACAAACCUGAUUAUCUGGAGGUAUGUAUCAAUGGUUAUAUGAAAUCAGCUCAUAUUGUUUUUUUAUGCUAACAUGUAAUAGAAGGAAGCAAGUCAUAAAAUAUUAUCUUCUGUACUACAGAACCGCUGGUUGUAUCUCCAAACAUCACAUUACAACCUGUCUGGGAAGGUGAAUUCAAAGCCUUAGGGGUCAGACUCAUCUGCACCUUGAGUGGAUUCUUUCCAGAUAAACUGAGUGUGGAGUGGAAGCUGGACAACAACCCUCUAGUGAUUAAUCCAAUCGAAAGGAAGCUGCAGACCGUGGAGGGAGUGAAAAAAACAUUUAGUUUUAGCAGUGAGAUUGAGCCAAACAGCAAGGAGUGGGCAAAAGGCUCAAGCUAUACAUGCAAGGCGAUUCACAACAACAUUGAAUUUACAAAGACAAUUAGUGUCUGUCAAAUCGUUCCAAGCACCACUCCUGCCAUGCAUUUACAAACCCCGAGCUUCAAGACGGUAAUGGAGGCAAAGUCAGACAUUGAGGCAACAUGUUCAGUCUGCACUAUUUUUGAUGCCACUGUGACAUGGAGGCUGGAUGAUGACUCUCCCUCCAAAGAACACAUCAACCAGGUCACUAAUGCAAGUCAUAUAAUAAGCACUCUGACAGUUUCAUCAAGCAGCUGGCAAAGACUGAAGAAUCUAAAAUGUAAGGCUGAACAUCACUGCUUCUCUUCUACUGAAGUUACAUUUGUUCCAGGGCCUGCAGUAAGACCUCCAUUGAUUCAGAUCAGAAGAUCUCUCCCACAUUUGCUGAAGGGAGACAGUGCUGUGCUGGAGUGUGACAUCACACAGUCCGACUCCAGGGAUCUAUCUGUCACCUUACAGACUAAUACGAAUGCUAUUAUUGGCAAACAGUUUGUUGAUCUUCCUCAAACCCCAGGACCACAUUCAAUCAGUAGAUUCUUCUCUGUGCCUCAAAAUCACUGGAAGAAAAACACAAGUUUCUACUGCAAAGUAAGCCAAGGUUUCUCUGGCAGUUCUACAUCAAACUCUACUGGCAUUAUCUUUGUGGAUCCAUCAGUGGAGCUCCUUCUGGUCCCAGGUGAAGAAUCUGGACAACAGAGACUGUCGUGCUCUGGAUGGGGCUUUGACCCUCAAAUCAAAUGGUCUUCUGAGUCCCAGCAAAAAUCUCCUUCGACCUAUGACAUCAGCAUGGGUGCAGGUGGACGUGUGGCAGUAACCAGUCAACUUCUUGUCCCUCAAAAAGAGUGGAAAACGGGGAAAAACUUCACCUGUCAAGUCUCUGACAGAAUUCUGAAGAAAGAUGUUCAACAGGAGAUCAGCCUCUGUUCAGUUACUCCCGCAUCAUCUCAAUCAGUUGGGGUCUAUAUUCAGGGACCACCACUCCAGGAGAAUCAGAACACGGGACAAGUGACUGUCACCUGCCUUUUGGUUGGCCCUCUUCUAAAAGAUAUUUCCAUCAACUGGAAAGUAGAUGGAAACACAUAUACCCAUCGUGCCCAUAUAGAGCCACCAGUGAGUCUCGGCAACGGUACAGAAACUUUGCGGAGCUUCCUUAACGUGUCAGCAGAGGACUGGAACUCUUAUAAAAACGUGUCAUGUGAGGGAAAGCAUCCAUGUUCCAAACAGAGCUACAAGGACCAUAUAAAGAAAUGCAAAGACACCAGUCCACCAACAGUGAAGAUUAUACAACCAAGUGCCUCUCAGGCUUCCACAUCACACUUCCUCACACUUACUUGCCUGGUGUCAGAAUUUUUCCCAUCCAACAUAAUAGUGUACUGGAAAAAAGAUGGCCAGAGACUCCCUUCAACUGGCUACACUAACAGUCCUGCAUGGAAGUACACCGGGAGCAGCACUUAUUCAAUGAGCAGCAGACUAAAUAUAACCAAAACUGUGCACGAGGAGUCCACAUAUUCUUGCGUUGUCAGACAUGAGUCAUCCGAAAUGCCCCUUGAAAGCAGUAUAAAGGAUGUGUUUGACGUAUUGGAGAGCUGUGAUUUUUUGGAUAAUAUUAUGUAUGCUGAAAGGAUCCAAGACAAAGAUGAGGAAGGCUGGUUUAUGGCUUUCACAUUUCUCGUUUUUUUCCUCAUCUCCAUCGUCUACGGUGUCUUUGCAACCCUGUUUAAGGUAAGCAACAGCAGUUUUAGUAGUUUUGGGCUGUGUCCGAAAUCACACACUCAUUCCCUACUCCCUACUCACUACAUAGUGAGUUAUAGCUAGUGGAUUAUAUAGUGCACUCACUCAGCAAUAUUAAAAAACCUUUCAGACACUACUUGUUUGCCACUGACAACGACGUCCUUGUCGCGCAACUAAAACGUGCAGCUUAACUCCAAUCAAUAAUAAUGGAAAAUAACAUCAUGAAUUUUAGUAAUAACUUUUUAUAAAUGAUAAAUGGACUUUAGCUUAUAUAGUGCUUUUACACUGCAUGUCACACCCAUUCACACACUGAUGAUAGUAGUCGCUAUGUAGUAUCAUCCAUCAGAAGCAACUAAUCCCAUUCAUACACCGCCACCGAAGCAGUAAUUCGGGGUUAAGGGUCUUGACCAUUAACCCCGAACACAUUGGACAUGUUGCCCAGCUGGGGAUCAAACCCUUGACCUUCCGGUUGAGAGGCGACAACUCUACCAACUGAGCCACAGCCGCCGCCCCUGUAUUAUACUGAGUGUAUUUUCACAAAACAGUCAUAAAUAAUGAAUAAAUAUAAAAUAUAGAAUUUUUGAUAUAAUGAAACAUUAGUGCACCAAAACUAAUUCAUUUGUGUAUCUGUGCACUACUUUUGCAAUGCAUUGUGGGAUACAAUGAGUGGAUUAUAUAAAGGUAUGAUCAUGCUCACUUAGAAUUCGGACUUCAAAAAUGGCAUGUUCACUAGUGAAUUUGGGAGUGAUUUCGGACACAGCCUUGGUAUUUAGAUUUCAUCUUCUAGCAGAGUAUUUCAUAUCUCUUGAGUUAUCUAUACAUCUCUGAAUUUUUUUAAUGAUUACUCCAGUAAUUUUAAGUGUUUUGGGAGUUUAAAUUGAAGUCUUUUACUAAAAUAAAAAAAGUCCCACAUCUAUAACCACUAAACCUUUUUUUUCCCUUUUAGACUAAAUGAUGGCGAUCACAGGAACAGAUCAACUUUCAAGAUCAAAAAGUGAACUUCUGGAGAUUUUUGAUUGUAUCUGGUCUUGUUAAUCUUUAAAUGGGAUAAGAAAUGCUCCCAUCAUCAUGUUCCUUUCCACUGUUUUACAUCUUGUUACUUUUCUACAUGCCAAUUCUUUUGAGAUUAUGCUACCAAUGUCAUGAAAACAAAUCCUGUAUCAUUUGUGCAUUGAGAAAAUAAAUAUUCAUGAAUUGGAAACAAA